UCCUGGUGUCUUGACUCACAGUGCUCCUGCCUCUGUCUCCUGAGAACUCCGAUUACCACCACUCGAGGAAAAACAAAGCCUCUUCUCUGGCUGCCCUCUGAUCUGCUCAUUAGCUGCAAGAGGGAGGACGGGCAGGAGCCCCAGAGGCUGAGCGGAGCUCGGGUUGGUGGAAGCAGUGAAGACAACUUGAUCUGUCUCUCAGAAAGAAGCCCCCCAGCCCCCACCAGCCACAAGUGACCUGAGAGGACUCACACCAGGAACCAGAACUUCUGAGAGGACUCACACCAGGAACCAGAACUUCUGAGAGGACUCACACCAGGAACCAGAACUUCUGUGAGGACUCACACCAGGAACCAGAACCUCUAGGGAAGCCCCGUAAGCAGAAAGGUAACUCAAAAGAGCCUCAGGAAGUCCCUGAAACUGAGCAGAUUCACUAGGCCCCCUCCCUGCCAGAGUAAGCCGAGCCAAGCUUCAAGGAAGAUGCUCAGAAGAGGAAAAGCUGCAGAGAAGACUUUGAGACUAGACCAACUUCCUGGAGGAAGUGGAAACCAGAUGGGCAGCCCGGCAGAGACACCUGAGACACGGAAAAGGACUCUAACCUGUUGAGCUGGCUGCCUGCAGGCUGUAUAGUGGGCUCCAGGUUCCCAGUUUUUUGUGAGCUGUCACUCAUGCUAUACUGGGCUUUGAUGACACAGCUGUCUGGGAGACACUUCUGCUCCUGAAAGUAACCAUUCACCAUAUGCCAUGUGGCCCCAAUAAACUCAUUGGUUCACUAA